rnacentral:rRNA from 1 species
GAUGAACGCUAGCUACAGGCUUAACACAUGCAAGUCGAGGGGCAGCGCAGUGUAGCAAUACAUGGGCGGCGACCGGCGCACGGGUGCGUAACGCGUAUCCAACCUUCCCGUUACUCUUGGAUAGCCUUCCGAAAGGGAGAUUAAUACAAGAUGGUAUUCAAAUUCCGCAUGUUAUUUGAAUUAAAGAUUCAUCGGUAACGGAUGGGGAUGCGUGACAUUAGAUAGUAGGCGGGGUAACGGCCCACCUAGUCUACGAUGUCUAGGGGUUCUGAGAGGAAGGUCCCCCCACACUGGAACUGAGACACGGUCCAGACUCCUACGGGAGGCAGCAGUGAGGAAUAUUGGUCAAUGGUCGGAAGACUGAACCAGCCAAGUAGCGUGAAGGAUGAAGGUUCUAUGGAUUGUAAACUUCUUUUAUACGGGAAUAAAACCUCCACGUGUGGGAGCUUGUAUGUACCGUAUGAAUAAGCAUCGGCUAACUCCGUGCCAGCAGCCGCGGU